UAUUUCAAGGUGGAACCCUGAUGUAUGAACAAGUGCCCAUGGUGGAAAUCGAUGGAAUGAAUUUGGUGCAGACCAGAGCCAUCUUAAGAUAUGUAGCUGCAAAGUAUGACUUGUACGGAAGGAACCAGGAAGAGCAAGCCUGGAUUGAUAUGUACGUAGAAGGCUUGAGGGACCUGAGCGACAUGAUAAUGUACUUCCCGCUCUCUCUGCCGGAAGAGAAGGAGAUGAACCUGGAGUACAUCCUCCAAAGAGCCACAACAAGAUUCUUCCCGGUUUACGAGAAGGCCCUAAGAGACCACGGGCAAGAUUUUCUUGUGGGCAAUCGACUGAGCUGGGCGGAUGUACAGCUCCUUGAAGUCAUCUUAAUGGCUGAAAAUUAACAGAUUCCUUCAACCUGGAAGCCAGAGGAAGCCUCCAUUGGAUGAGCAAUCCAUUGGCACGGCAAAGGACAUAUUCAAGUUUGAACAAGGCAUGUUCCUUAAAAACAUGAGCACUAUAAUAGCUGAGUAUUAACAGUUACAGAGGCUGAAGUUAUGGUAGUAAAUGUUAGUAAUGUUAGUAGGUUAGCAAUGUUAGAAUGUUAGUAACGAAAAUAUUAAAUGUGUAAAGAGAUAAACUACUAAAAAUGUAUUUAUAAACUAGAACAACCAACUCCUGUUUGAAAUAAGACGUGCCACCAAGACUGGAUCCAGAAAACCCAAGGAGUCCUCUGCCUUCUGUACGGUCCUAGAAUAAACUUGUAUGUCGUAAGUG
rnacentral:lncRNA from 1 species